UGGGAAAUCCGGUUAAUAUUCCGGAACCACUAACGUGUGCUGUGGGAGGACGCAGUAGGGUAGGUAAGACGGCGUAUGGAAGUGCCGUUGAACUCACAAUAUCCCGUCGCUUAGGCAAAUCCGGGCGACAUAAGGGUAAAUGUAGGGACGAAAGUAAGGGUAAAACCUGAAAAAAGUUAUUGACCCCAGCUGCCAAGAAAAUUCUCGUUCAGCUAUACACGCGACGUGACCGUACCGCAAACCGACACAGGUAGGUGGGGUGAGAAUCCUAAGGCGCUUGUGAGAACUCUCGUUCAGGAACUCGGCAAACUAGCCCCGUAACUUCGGGAAAAGGGGUGCCGUCCUCCGGGACGGUCGCAGAGAAAUGUCCCAGGCGACUGUUUACUAAAAACACAGGUCUCCGCAAAGUCGUGAAGACGACGUAUGGGGGCUGACGCCUGCCCAAUGCUGGAAGGUUAAGAGGAGUGGUCAGUCCUGAGCAAUCGGGAUGAAGCUACGAAUCGAAGCCCCAGUGAAUGGCGGCCGUAACAAUAACGGUCCUAAGGUAGCGAAAUUCCUUGUCGGGUAAGUUCCGACCUGCACGAAUGGCGUAACGAUCUGGGAGCUGUCUUAACGAGAGACACAGCGAACUUGUAGUACCGGUGAAGAUGCCGGUUUCCCGCAUCUAGACGGAAAGACCCCGUGCACCUUUACUACAACUUGACAGUGGGUUCGGGCAAACGAUGCGCAGGAUAGGUGGGAGGCUUUGAGCCGAGACUUUUGGGUUUCGGGGAGCCAACGGUGAGAUACCACCCUUCGUUUGUCUGGACUCUAACCUAGUGCCGUAAUCCGGUGCAGGGACACUAUCAGGCGGGUAGUUUGACUGGGGCGGUCGCCUCCCAAAUUGUAACGGAGGCGCUCGAAGGUUGGCUCAGGCUGUUUGGAAAUCAGCCGUAGAGUGUAAACGCAUAAGCCAGCUUGACUGUGAGACAAACAAGUCGAACAGGUACGAAAGUAGGAGUUAGUGAUCCGGCGGUUCUGUAUGGAAGGGCCGUCGCUCAACGGAUAAAAGGUACGCCGGGGAUAACAGGCUGAUCCUGCCCAAGAGUUCACAUCGACGGCAGGGUUUGGCACCUCGAUGUCGGCUCAUCUCAUCCUGGGGCUGAAGAAGGUCCCAAGGGUUUGGCUGUUCGCCAAUUAAAGAGGUACGUGAGCUGGGUUUAGAACGUCGCGAGACAGUUCGGUCCCUAUCUGGUGUGGGCGGAGCAGAAUUGAGGGAAUCUGUCCUUAGUACGAGAGGACCGGGAUGGAUCCACCUCUAGUGUACGAGUUACGGCGCCAGCCGUAGCGCUCGGUAGCUAUGUGGAGCAUGGAUAAACGCUGAAUGCAUCUAAGCGUGAAGCCAGACCCAAGAUUAUUUCUGCCAGUGAAACUCCUCGUAGACCACGAGGUUGAUAGGGUGGAUAUGUAAGUGCAGUAAUGUGCUCAGUUGACCACUACUAAUCAGUCCCUUGGCUUGACC
rnacentral:rRNA from 1 species